UACGAAGGGGGCGAGCGUUGUUCGGAUUUACUGGGCGUAAAGGGCGCGCAGGCGGCGCAUUUUGUCAGGCGUGAAAGCCCCGGGCUUAACCUGGGAACUGCGUUUGAUACGGAUGGGCUAGAGUUCGGGAGAGGAGAGUGGAAUUCCCAGUGUAGAGGUGAAAUGCGUAGAUAUCUGGAGGAACACCGGUGGCGAAGGCGGCAUCCUGGACCAACACUGACACUGAGGAGCGAAAGCCAGGGGAGCAAACGGG
rnacentral:rRNA from 1 species